GAGAAACAGAGUUCGUGCCUUUGAUCCCAGCACUAGAGCGUAUAUAAGAAGCUCGGUGUCUCAGGCUGGCAAUUAGUCUCCAGCCACGUUGAGGACAGCGUUGCCCCAAACUUGGUAGAGGUGAGGGCUACCGGCCUGACUGCUUUGCUCUUCUUCAGCUUGAACCCUAAUAUUCGUCACUGGGUUCUUAUUAUUCACGCUACAGAGGUGGAGUGGGAUAACGAUGAAAACACAUUGUAAACAUAUAUGAAACUGUCAAAGAACACAUUCUAUUUAAUUUUUAAAAGAGACAAACUGAUAAAGGCUUUGAAAUGAGCCCUGCCAUUUUUUUUAUAAAUGACAGUUUCUAGAUCUACUUGCCUCAUCUGUAGGAAGGAAUAGGUUUAGUGAGGAUGAAAUAAAGCAAUACCUUGCAAAAAUAAUUCACCACCAUUGAUGAGAGUCUACCUUAGACUGCCGGUCUGUGGGGUAUUUUUUGUUAGUAACUGAUGAGGGAGGUCCCAGGCCACUGUGGGUGGUCCUGGGCUGUGUAAGAAAGCAGACUGAGAAAACCACGGAGAACAAGCCGGAAGCAGCACCCCUCCAUGACCUCUGCUUUAGAUCCAGCCCCGGGUUCCCGCUUGAGUUCUGCCCUCGUUCCCCCUCGGCGGUGGACUCUGAUUGGGUCAUGGCGGGCUCACAGCAUGGUGAUCACGGCCUUGGCCCUCAUGUCUCCACAUUCUGCCUGCUUUUGUCCCUGCUCUGCUUUCACUGUGGGCAUUUAUUGUCUGCUGCUGGUGAUAGGCCCACCCGGCCCCACCCCAUCCCCCAUCGGUCAUACUUUACAGCUUCUUUCAACUACUGGUUUGUUCCUAAAUUGGAUGUCAGAUUAUAAAUUUUAUGUUGUUGAGUGCCAGAUUUAAUUUGUUUCUAGUAUCUUUGGGGCACACUGCGAGACUUAGAAUCAGUUGGUUCCCUUCUAGGCUUAAGUCCAGCUAAUUCGGCAACACACUCUACAAACACUACUAGGUGCUCUGUACCUUGGGAGAUCUGUUUAUUACAGCUGGUACAGGUUUUUUGUUUUUUGUUUUUUUCUUGCCUCUGAGACACAGGGUUCCAUCUCUUCUUUUCCUGUGGAUUUUCCCAAAAACUUUGGGCAGUUUCCUCAUAUAAAUUCACCAAUCAGCACUCAGUCCCAGAUGCAAGAUAGUUUCUCUACAGAUACAGCUCUAUCUUCAAACUAAUUCCCCAGUGUUCUCUCGGAUGCUGUUGGCUUCAAGAAGCAUCCAUCUUUUCCACUCAGCAAGGCGGCAGGGGUGACACAAAGUGGAGGAGUCAGCCAAGAGCCUGGGGUUCCUGUGGGACACAUGCAGACCUUUGGGUGUCUCUCUUGGACCUCUGCUGGGGACUCAAAGGCAGCAGAUGGGCCACCAAGGAUGUGGCUGUUGGCACAAACCUUCCCCUCAAAGGAGAUAAGAGACAGUUUAUUCUGGACCAUGGCCAAGAACACAGAUGUAGGUUACCCCAAAUUCCAAGCUCCAAAGUGGUAAAGAUGACAUUUUUGUGGUAACAGAAACACGAAUCCAUGGGUGCUUUAAACACACUGGUGGGAUGUCAAAGCAAAGCUGGGCAAAUUCAGCUACAGGCCUCAGUGCUGUCUGACAGCAUUCGCAGUCACUGAGCUGAUUGGAGACUGGGGAUCUGCUUUUGCAUUCCCAGGGUUUCCCUGAUAGUCAUAAAGAUUUAGGUCAUAUGCAGAGGUGGGUAAUAAAUGGCUCUUAAUGGGGCCAAAGAUUCCCCAAGAUAACUUGGCAGUUGAUUUGCAACAUUCCAACCUUUCCACAUUGUUAAGGCUCUAAUCAGCCUUUCCAAAUGUAUGUUUCUUUCUAGAAACUUUCCUUCACAUGGGCCAUUCUGGUUAAAAUAAUAACAGGGCGGGUGAUACAGUGAUGCUGUUAGGAAAUGGAUAUAAACAAUGUAAGUGGGAAAUGCAGUGGCGGGUUACUUAGGACUUUCAUGGUGGCCUGCAUUUCUGAGCUUUGUGUUCUAGCACGAAGAUCCAUUGGAGGCUUCCUACGUGCAUUGGAAAGAUGAAGCUUGAGUUUGAGAAGUCUUGGUCUGGCCUUGGAGGGAGCUGAAGCUGUGGGAUGAGUCAGACAAAGUGGCCGCAGUGAUCAGCCCAGGGAUGGAGAGACCCAGGGAACAUUUGGUGCCUGCAGAACCUAAAGCACUUGCAAGAGCCGGGAAAGGAUCGCAAAUUAGCCUCAAAUAAGGACAAAUGCCCACUCAGCAUGGAGAGGCACUCUUGAAUCCCUUGGCUCCCUGGUUGCUUUAUUGUCCAUGUUUUCAGCUUGGCAGGCUGCCUGGGGGUUGAGGGGCUUCCAGGAAGCUGUGCUCAUUUCUGUUUUCAGUUCAACAGCACACGAGCUAAUUGUGAAGAAAGAAAGAAAAGGACCCAGAGGGUCAUGGAGAGACACCCUGAAAGGAAACAGCAAUAGAGCUAAUAGGGAAUGAGAGACGGAAACAAAGGAUGGUAGGAACGGCGCAGUUAAACACAAAGGCACCGAAUUCCCAUGCAGCAUGACCUUAGUGGGUCCUUUACCCGCUUCUCCUGGGCUGCUCUGACUGGAAUUCUAUGCUGUAUUGAUACCUAAGGAAAAAUGCCUCUUUGCUUAGAUUCACAAAGGCUUUCAACCUGCAAGACUGUUCUGACUAAUGGGGCAGCUCUUCCUGGAAGCCAACAUAGAGACAGUUCAAGGCACACUUGGGGUGCAGCAGGCAAAAACAUGGAAAGCAGGGUGAAGUCUGCAGUGGAUCCGGAAUGAUUUACCCUUGACUGCAGUCCUGAUCUCUUCUGUUUCUGACGGCCUUUGAGCACAACACCCUCUUUCUUUCGGUUUUUCCUAACCCUUCAAGACCAGAUCUUCCUGUCUUUUCUUUCUUUUGGAAGGUUUGGGGAAAGGGCCUCCAUUAGUCAGGGCUGUGCCUAUUUAUAAAACUCCCCCAGUGGUUGCUUUCCUAAACACUUGCUCUCCCCAUCUUUGUAGCUGAUCUGUCCUUCACACAGGCCCUAGACUGAAAGGCCCAGGAAUCACACAGCUAGGCUCCAAGCAUCGGUGUGACAUAGAAACACCCACUGCCCCUAAAACAGUAAGGAGGGAGCGUCACUCUUCUGUGUGCACAAGACUAUCUCUCCAGUAAACUGCUGUCCCCCAAAAGAUAACCCCCCUUACCGCCACUCUGGAACUCUAAACCUGAAAAUUGGUAGCCUUGGGUGAUUAAUUCAUUCAUAAAUUGUGUGUACUCUGCAAUAAAACUUCACACACUCUUCUCAGCCACAAACAUGUGAACUCCUGAAGGAAUACCAGUGUUUUACCCUCCUUCAGCUGGGUGACAUGAUUUGGACUGGACCUUAGAGCCAAGUUGAUCUCAGAGUUGGGCUCAGUUUUGAGGUAGCACUAGGCUUCUGGAAGGGUGUGGGGACUGCCAAGAAACUAGGGUGUCCAGGCUUCAAAAAAUAUUCCUGAAUGCCCCCAAAAGGAGAAGUCAGAAAAUCCCAUUGUUCUCUUCAAUUCUGUGACCUCAGCUCUCUCCAUAAUGCAACUGAUGACAUCCACUGUGGUGAGUGAGGCGCCACCAGAGGCCCUCAGCUGCUGAGGACAGCAGGGGCCAUGGUCCUGCUCCAGAAGAAAGGACAGCACUGGACAGCAGGGAAGAAGGCAUUACGAGGCAGGGGGCAUUCCUGCUCUGCUACAAUAUUUUUCACAGCCAACGCUAUGCCAAUGUUUGUACUUGCCAGAAGAAUAUUGAUUUCUUAAGCCCUCCCUCUCAUCUUUAAGACUGAAGUUUCUCAUUAGACCACAAGGUGGCAGAUUAAUAGCAGGGGAAAGAAAUCCAAGCUCAAAACCAACAGAGAAAUGGUUCCAACUGAAGCAAAAUGUAGGAGUGAUCAAAGAAGAUUCUGUCUCCACGCUGCAUGUAAGGCUCCUUCCUUGAUCAAAAGUUACAUCUGCUAAACAAACUCACAUCCUUUUCAUCGUAUUAUCCCUUUGAAGCAUGUGGGAGACUCCUUUACAGACUUACUAAUGUUUCUGAACACAGUUUACUGGUAUCGCCCCGAUGAAUGCCUGUCCUAUCAGCUCUAGGUUCAACACCCACCAGAAAGGUCACGCUUUUGACCGCCAUCAAUCACUUGAACAAUUACCACUGGAGGCUUCCUUUUCACACGCAUUCACUGUCACAGCUGAGCCAUGGCCCAUCGUGAGAAACUGACGACCUUUGGGAUUUCUGAAACAACUCCAACUGUUCCACUGUCUCCUGGGCAUCCAGCUUUGUUCCCCCCCUCCUGCUGACGUCACUGCCACCUCCUUGGAUGUCAGAACUGACAGUGACUUCAUUGGCUGUGAGAUGACGUGUGCAUUCCUGAAUGUGGCCAGUGGGGGCCUUUCCCACUUGGCUCACAACCUGUGCAGACACUUGCUAACUCAACAGGACUGACAUUACUGCCGGGUCAAGUGUACCUCCUUUUUCAUCUGUCCGGGUUUUCUCGUAUCGUCUCCUCUCUCUGGGCUGCUCAUCUGCAUCUGUGUCUGGCAAGCAUGCAGUCCAUGCAGCGCUUUGAUCAACACUCUUAGGUAGACAGCACCCUCCUACCUGACCCUAUGCUAAGCUGGCUUGCAUGGGACUCAUCCCUUAUAAACACUAGAUUUCCACAUGUCUGCUUUUCCCACUAAAUGUCAGCUCUUUCACAAAAUAUUCAAGGACUGGGGUGGGUCCUGGCCAAAAUGUUAUUCCAAGUAAAUAUACAGAGGACAUCAGGAAGGGACUACAAUGUUGCAUCUGGUAUAUAGGUAGCACCCACAAGGUUACAAGGCUUUGACUGAAAACGAUGGUGUCAGGUGGAGAAAGCAUUGACUGGUGUUGGUCUCUUUCUCACCAAAGACCUGCAGCGAGGAGAGGCAGCACAGUGGCUCCCCUGCACCCAGCGGGAACACCAGUCUGUAAGAGCAGGGAGAGGCUCGGUGGCUCUGUACUCCAACGAAGAAUGGCAGGGGGCACUCUGUUUGCAAACACUGAUCCCCUUCCCGCACCUGCCUGCUUUCUCCUGUGCCCUGUAUCUGCUUGCCAAGACACAGUAGACAGAGACACCCCUGCAUCUCAGCUUUCAAUAAUCCAGGACUCUCUUAACUUGGGGGUGGUGUCAACAGAUCAGCUAUUACAGUCAUCAGUUGAACUAAGUGUAGAAAUAUUCUGUGAUGUCUGAGGACAAAAUCAGGAAAAUUAUACUGAAUGAUGCUAAAAUAUCAUUAAAAGUUGAAAUAUC